ACUCGAUCAAGAAUCUCAAACGGGCCAAUGAACCUAGGCUAAACUUGCACUUCUUCCCAAAUCUCACCAUGCCCUUCAUAGGCGACACUCGGAGCGAUAAUCGCUCGCCAAACAUGUAAGCCACAUCUCGAACCUUGUGAUCUGCAUAGCUCUUUUUCUUGGAAUGAGCUGUAUGAAGCCUAUCCUGAAUGAUCUUGACCUUCUCUAAGGCCUCC
rnacentral:lncRNA from 1 species